CACGGGGGGAGCAAGCGUUGUUCGGAAUCACUGGGCGUAAAGGGCGUGUAGGCGGUUGUGUAAGUGGGAUGUGAAAUGCCUCGGCUUACCCGGGGACCUGCAUCCCAUACUGCAUGACUUGAGUACGGGAGAGGAUGAGGGAAUUCCUGGUGUAGCGGUGAAAUGCGUAGAUAUCAGGAGGAACACCGGUGGCGAAGGCGCUCAUCUGGCCCGAUACUGACGCUGAGGCGCGAAAGCUAGGGUAGCGAACGGG
rnacentral:rRNA from 1 species